rnacentral:rRNA from 1 species
AACGAACGCUGGCGGCAGGCCUAACACAUGCAAGUCGAGCGAACCCUUCGGGGUUAGCGGCGGACGGGUUAGUAACGCGUGGGAACGUGCCCAAAGGUACGGAAUAGCCUCGGGAAACUGAGAGUAAUACCGUAUGUGCCCCUCGGGGGAAAGAUUUAUCGCCUUUGGAUCGGCCCGCGUUGGAUUAGGUAGUUGGUGGGGUAAUGGCCUACCAAGCCGACGAUCCAUAGCUGGUUUGAGAGGAUGAUCAGCAACACUGGGACUGAGACACGGCCCAGACUCCUACGGGAGGCAGCAGUGGGGAAUCUUAGACAAUGGGGGAAACCCUGAUCUAGCCAUGCCGCGUGGACGAUGAAGGCCUUAGGGUUGUAAAGUCCUUUCAGCUGGGAAGAUAAUGACGGUACCAGCAGAAGAAGCCCCGGCUAACUCCGUG